rnacentral:rRNA from 1 species
GACGUAGGUGGCGAACGUUAUCCGGAAUUAUUGGGCGUAAAGGGUGCGUAGGUGGCCUGACAAGUUAUCAGUGGCAAAUCGAGGCUCAACCUCGUGGAAACUGGUAAUACUGUUCGGCUUGAGUACAGGAGAGGUUAACGGGAACUCAUAUGUGGAGCGGUAAAAUGCACAGAUAUAUAGAAGAACAUCAAUAAAAGGCGAAGGCAGUUUAACUAUUCUGUUACUGACGCUGAGGCACGAAAAGCGUGGGGGAGCAAAACGG